CCUACGGGAGGCAGCAGUGGGGAAUAUUGGACAAUGGGCGAAAGCCUGAUCCAGCCAUGCCGCGUGUGUGAAGAAGGCCUUCGGGUUGUAAAGCACUUUCAGUGGGGAAGAAAGCCUUGGGGCUAAUACCCUCGAGGAAGGACAUCACCCACAGAAGAAGCACCGGCUAACUCCGUGCCAGCAGCCGCGGUAAUACGGAGGGUGCGAGCGUUAAUCGGAAUUACUGGGCGUAAAGCGCGCGUAGGCGGUCUGAUAAGCCGGUUGUGAAAGCCCCGGGCUCAACCUGGGAACGGCAUCCGGAACUGUCAGGCUAGAGUGCAGGAGAGGAAGGUAGAAUUCCCGGGGUAGCAGUGAAAUGCGUAGAGAUCGGGAGGAAUACCAGUGGCGAAGGCGGCCUUCUGGACUGACACUGACGCUGAGGUGCGAAAGCGUGGGUAGCAAACAGGAUUAGAUACCCUUGUAGUC
rnacentral:rRNA from 1 species